GUGGGGGAUAUUGCACAAUGGGGGAAACCCUGAUGCAGCAACGCCGCGUGUGGGAAGAAGGUUUUCGGAUUGUAAACCACUGUUCUUGGUGAAGAUAAUGACGGUAACCAAGGAGAAAGCUCCGGCUAACUACGUGCCAGCAGCCGCGGUAAUACGUAGGGAGCAAGCGUUGUCCGGAUUUACUGGGUGUAAAGGGUGCGUAGGCGGCUAGGCAAGUCAGACGUGAAAACCAUGGGCUCAACCUGUGGACUGCGUUUGAAACUGUUUAGCUUGAGUGAAGUAGAGGUAGGCGGAAUUCCCGGUGUAGCGGUGAAAUGCGUAGAGAUCGGGAGGAACACCAGUGGCGAAGGCGGCCUACUGGGCUUUAACUGACGCUGAGGCACGAAAGCAUGGGUAGCAAACAGGA
rnacentral:rRNA from 1 species